CACGUAGGGCGCAAGCGUUGUCCGGAAUCACUGGGCGUAAAGGGCGCGUAGGCGGCGCGGGAAGUCAUCGGUGAAAGUUCAGGGCUCAACUCUGAAUCGGCCGGUGAUACUCUCGUGCUUGAGCACUGUAGAGGCAGGUGGAAUUCCGGGUGUAGCGGUGGAAUGCGCAGAUAUCAGGAGGAACACCGGUGGCGAAGGCGGGUCUCUGGGCAAUAACUGACGCUGAGGAGCGAAAGCGUGGGGAGCGAACAGG
rnacentral:rRNA from 1 species